CCCCUCUCAGGGUCACACACCUGGAGAAUUGACAGAACUCUACCAGUCUCAAUCACAAGAGGGAGAGUCAGGCAGGGGCAUAUCCAUUCUAUUCCUAGCUUGGGCAGUGGCUAGCGAAUGGAAGGCAACCUGCUACAAGU